UCCUACGGGAGGCAGCAGUGGGGAAUAUUGCACAAUGGGGGAAACCCUGAUGCAGCGAUGCCGCGUGAAGGAAGAAGAUUUUCGGAUUGUAAACUUCUAUCAGCAAGGAAGAAAACGGACAGUACUUGAGUAAGAAGCCCCGGCUAACUACGUGCCAGCAGCCGCGGUAAUACGUAGGGGGCAAGCGUUAUCCGGAAUUACUGGGUGUAAAGGGUGCGUAGGCGGUACGGCAAGUUUGAUGUGAAACCCAUGGGCUUAACCCAUGGCAUGCAUCGAAAACUACUGAACUAGAGUGCAGGAGAGGAAAGCGGAAUUCCUAGUGUAGCGGUGAAAUGCGUAGAUAUUAGGAAGAACACCAGUGGCGAAGGCGGCUUUCUGGACUGCAACUGACGCUGAGGCACGAAAGCGUGGGGAGCAAACAGGAUUAGAUACCCUGGUAGUCC
rnacentral:rRNA from 1 species